rnacentral:rRNA from 1 species
GAUGAACGCUGGCGGCGUGCCUAAUACAUGCAAGUCGAGCGAACAGACGAGGAGCUUGCUCCUCUGACGUUAGCGGCGGACGGGUGAGUAACACGUGGAUAACCUACCUAUAAGACUGGGAUAACUUCGGGAAACCGGAGCUAAUACCGGAUAAUAUAUUGAACCGCAUGGUUCAAUAGUGAAAGACGGUUUUGCUGUCACUUAUAGAUGGACCCGCGCCGCAUUAGCUAGUUGGUAAGGUAACGGCUUACCAAGGCAACGAUGCGUAGCCGACCUGAGAGGGUGAUCGGCCACACUGGAACUGAGACACGGUCCAGACUCCUACGGGAGGCAGCAGUAGGGAAUCUUCCGCAAUGGGCGAAAGCCUGACGGAGCAGCGCCGCGUGAGUGAUGAAGGUCUUCGGAUCGUAAAACUCUGUUAUUGGGGAAGAACAAAUGUGUAAGUAACUAUGCACGUCUUGACGGUACCUAAUCAGAAAGCCACGGCUAACUACGUG